rnacentral:rRNA from 1 species
UACGUAGGUGGCAAGCGUUACCCGGAUUUAUUGGGCGUAAAGGGAACGCAGGCGGUCUUUUAAGUCUGAUGUGAAAGCCUUCGGCUUAACCGGAGUAGUGCAUUGGAAACUGGGAGACUUGAGUGCAGAAGAGGAGAGUGGAACUCCAUGUGUAGCGGUGAAAUGCGUAGAUAUAUGGAAGAACCCCAGUGGCGAAAGCGGCUCUCUGGUCUGUAACUGACGCUGAGGUUCGAAAGCGUGGGUAGCAAACAGG